rnacentral:lncRNA from 1 species
UGGAAUUUUCUUCAUGUUACAAGUUUGAAACGUUUCCUCAUUAAAAUUAAGCCCAGAGGCCAGGCACGGUGGCUCACACCUGUAAUCUCAGCACUUUGGGACGCCGAGGCGGGCAGGUCACGAGGUCAGGAGUUUGAGAUCAGCCUGGCCAUACGGUGAAACCCUGUCUCUACUAAAAAUAGAAAAAUUAGCUGGGUGUGGUGGCACACGCCUGUAGUCCCAGCUGCUCGGGAGGCUGAGGCAGGAGAAUCACUUGAACCCGGGAGGCGAGGUUGUAGUGAGCCAAGAUCGUACCACUGCACUCCAGCCUGGGCAACAGAGCGAGAGUCUGUCAAAAAAAAAAAAAAAAAAAAAUUGAGCCCAGAUCCUGUUUUUGAAUCAGUUGUUUAAGAGCUGUAGUUUUCUUUUAUGAUUAUUGAUUUAAUAAGGUUUUAUAUUUUCUUUAUCUGUUUUGUAAUAUAUAACAUUCUAAAAUCAUUCAUUUUAUUAAUAUUUUCAAAUUUAUUAAUGGAAAAUAAAUUAUAAUUUUACAACUCUUCUAAAUUAAAAAGGGAAUGUAUAAUCUACCUUAUUUAGACCACCAAAGAGGUUCAUUAACAGAACAGUGCAUAUUCUUCCCGAUUUUUUUUGUAGAUUUUACAGACACAGACAUCUAUACCCAAAACCUUUUUUUUUUUUUUUUUUUUUCCCCCUGGAGAUAGAAUCUCGCUCUGUCACCCAGGCUGGAGUGUAGUGGUGCGAUCUCUGCUCACUGCAGCCUUUGCCUCCCGGGUUCAAGCCAUUCUCCUGCCUCAGCCUCCUGGGUAGGUGGGAUUACAGGCAUACGCCACCACGCCUGGCUAAUGUUUCUGUAUUUUUAGUAGAGAUGGGGUUUCACCUUGUUGGUCAGGCUGGUCUCGAGCUCCUGACCUCGUGAUCCGCCCGCCCCGGCCUCCCAAAGUGCUGGGGUUACAGGCGUGAGCCACCGCGCCUGGCCCCAAAA